UUGAACUUGUGAUCCCCCUGCCUCAGCCACAUCCCACCCCCCAGGAACCUGGGAUUACAGACCAGCACCACCCUGCCCAGCUGUCCUGCCUCUCGCUCCUCUGGAUUCUGGACUUGUGGAAGCCACCAUGGAGAUGUGGUGGUGAGAAGUGUUUUUCACACAGAUCCUCCGUUCCUUGAGAUUCCUGACUCCGAUCCUUGACCCCUAAAGGCCCAACUCAGACACAAACUUUCACAGAGAAGGAAAGAGGAGUAGCGAACGUCAGGGGAGCCUCCCGACCAGCACCGCGAGAACCCGGAUGGCUUUGCCAGCUCCUGCUCCCCUGCCUCCUCCUCCUUCCUUUUCUUCUCUCCCCUUCCUCCUUUCCUCCUCUCCCUCCCACUCCUCCCUCUUUUGUCUUUGAAAAAGGCAGGUGGUCGGUGGGGUCGAGAAAAGGAUUUCUCCGUGGGCACCGAGAGUCCUGGAGAUUCGUACCUUCGGUCCACUCAUUCUUCUUAGGAUCCUUAGUUUGAGGACAUCCAGAGCAACUUAGCAGGACACCAUCUCAAAAUAA